rnacentral:rRNA from 1 species
GGUUAAGUGACUAAGCGUACACGGUGGAUGCCUGGGCAGUCAGAGGCGAUGAAGGACGUACUAACUUGCGAUAAGCGCAGAUGAGGCAGUAAGAGCCGUUUGAGUCUGCGAUUUCCGAAUGGGGAAACCCAACUGCAUAAGCAGUUACUGUUAACUGAAUACAUAGGUUAACAGAGCAAACCGGGGGAACUGAAACAUCUAAGUACCCCGAGGAGAAGAAAUCAACCGAGAUUCCGGUAGUAGCGGCGAGCGAACCUGGAUUAGCCCUUAAGCACUCGGUGAAGUAGGUGAACAAGCUGGAAAGCUUGGCGAUACAGGGUGAUAGCCCCGUAACCGACGCUUCAUCGAGCGUGAAAUCGAGUAGGGCGGGACACGUGAUAUCCUGUCUGAAUAUGGGGGGACCAUCCUCCAAGGCUAAAUACUCCUGACUGACCGAUAGUGAACCAGUACCGUGAGGGAAAGGCGAAAAGAACCCCUGUGAGGGGAGUGAAAUAGAACCUGAAACCGUGUACGUACAAGCAGUAGGAGCACCUUCGUGGUGUGACUGCGUACCUUUUGUAUAAUGGGUCAGCGACUUAUAUUCAGUGGCAAGGUUAACCGUAUAGGGGAGCCGUAGCGAAAGCGAGUCUUAACUGGGCGUUCAGUCUCUGGAUAUAGACCCGAAACCGGGUGAUCUAGCCAUGGGCAGGUUGAAGGUUGAGUAACAUCAACUGGAGGACCGAACCGACUAAUGUUGAAAAAUUAGCGGAUGACUUGUGGCUAGGGGUGAAAGGCCAAUCAAACUCGGAGAUAGCUGGUUCUCCCCGAAAGCUAUUUAGGUAGCGCCUCGGACGAAUACUACUGGGGGUAGAGCACUGUUAAGGCUAGGGGGUCAUCCCGACUUACCAACCCUUUGCAAACUCCGAAUACCAGUAAGUACUAUCCGGGAGACACACGGCGGGUGCUAACGUCCGUCGUGGAGAGGGAAACAACCCAGACCGCCAGCUAAGGUCCCAAAGUAUUGCUAAGUGGGAAACGAUGUGGGAAGGCUCAGACAGCUAGGAUGUUGGCUUAGAAGCAGCCAUCAUUUAAAGAAAGCGUAAUAGCUCACUAGUCGAGUCGGCCUGCGCGGAAGAUGUAACGGGGCUAAGCAAUACACCGAAGCUGCGGCAAUAUCUUUUAGAUAUUGGGUAGGGGAGCGUUCUGUAAGCCGUUGAAGGUGAAUCGUAAGGUUUGCUGGAGGUAUCAGAAGUGCGAAUGCUGACAUGAGUAACGACAAAGGGGGUGAAAAACCUCCUCGCCGGAAGACCAAGGGUUCCUGUCCAACGUUAAUCGGGGCAGGGUGAGUCGACCCCUAAGGUGAGGCCGAAAGGCGUAAUCGAUGGGAAACGGGUUAAUAUUCCCGUACUUCUGACUAUUGCGAUGGGGGGACGGAGAAGGCUAGGUGGGCCAGGCGACGGUUGUCCUGGUUCAAGUGCGUAGGCUUGAGAGUUAGGUAAAUCCGGCUCUCUCUAAGGCUGAGACACGACGUCGAGCUGCUACGGCAGUGAAGUCAUUGAUGCCAUGCUUCCAGGAAAAGCCUCUAAGCUUCAGAUAGUCNNNNNNNNNNNNNNNNNNNNNNNNNNNNNNNNNNNNNNNNNNNNNNNNNNNNNNNNNNNNNNNNNNNNNNNNNNNNNNNNNNNNNNNNNNNNNNNNNCCAGGAAUCGUACCCCAAACCGACACAGGUGGUCGGGUAGAGAAUACCAAGGCGCUUGAGAGAACUCGGGUGAAGGAACUAGGCAAAAUGGUACCGUAACUUCGGGAGAAGGUACGCUCUUGAUGGUGAAGUCCCUCGCGGAUGGAGCUGACGAGAGUCGCAGAUACCAGGUGGCUGCAACUGUUUAUUAAAAACACAGCACUGUGCAAAAUCGCAAGAUGACGUAUACGGUGUGACGCCUGCCCGGUGCCGGAAGGUUAAUUGAUGGGGUUAGCGCAAGCGAAGCUCUUGAUCGAAGCCCCGGUAAACGGCGGCCGUAACUAUAACGGUCCUAAGGUAGCGAAAUUCCUUGUCGGGUAAGUUCCGACCUGCACGAAUGGCGUAAUGAUGGCCACGCUGUCUCCACCCGAGACUCAGUGAAAUUGAAAUCGCUGUGAAGAUGCAGUGUACCCGCGGCUAGACGGAAAGACCCCGUGAACCUUUACUACAGCUUGGCACUGAACAUUGAACCUACAUGUGUAGGAUAGGUGGGAGGCUAUGAAGACGUGACGCCAGUUGCGUUGGAGCCGUCCUUGAAAUACCACCCUUGUAUGUUUGAUGUUCUAACUUAGACCCAUUAUCUGGGUUGAGGACAGUGCCUGGUGGGUAGUUUGACUGGGGCGGUCUCCUCCCAAAGAGUAACGGAGGAGCACGAAGGUGGGCUAAUCACGGUUGGACAUCGUGAGGUUAGUGCAAUGGCAUAAGCCCGCUUAACUGCGAGAAUGACGGUUCGAGCAGGUGCGAAAGCAGGUCAUAGUGAUCCGGUGGUUCUGUAUGGAAGGGCCAUCGCUCAACGGAUAAAAGGUACUCCGGGGAUAACAGGCUGAUACCGCCCAAGAGUUCAUAUCGACGGCGGUGUUUGGCACCUCGAUGUCGGCUCAUCACAUCCUGGGGCUGAAGUCGGUCCCAAGGGUAUGGCUGUUCGCCAUUUAAAGUGGUACGCGAGCUGGGUUUAGAACGUCGUGAGACAGUUCGGUCCCUAUCUGCCGUGGGCGUUGGAAGAUUGAAGGGGGCUGCUCCUAGUACGAGAGGACCGGAGUGGACGAACCUCUGGUGUUCGGGUUGUGUCGCCAGACGCAUUGCCCGGUAGCUAAGUUCGGAAUUGAUAAGCGCUGAAAGCAUCUAAGCGCGAAGCGAGCCCUGAGAUGAGUCUUCCCUGAUACUUUAAGUAUCCUAAAGGGUUGUUCGAGACUAGAACGUUGAUAGGCAGGGUGUGUAAGCGUUGUGAGGCGUUGAGCUAACCUGUACUAAUUGCCCGUGAGGCUUAACCAU